UAUUUUUUUUUUAAUUUGGAGAGUUUUGUUAUUUUUUUUGGCUUGUUGUUUUUUUUCGUUGGUUAGGGAUAUUUAAACAUAGGCAGGAGAGGUUGCAAGGGCGAUGGAAGCAGCAGAGAA
rnacentral:ribozyme from 13 species